UGUCUGGAUCUGAGAGCAGUUUUACUUCUAUUGGCAUUACCGAAUCUGGGUCCUUAUAUUUUAUUAAACUCCUUAGGGUAAGGGUGAUGGCUUUCGGGGACAGAUGCAUAUCACAGCCGGCAGACAGGGCAGAGGCCGAUGGGUAUCACCAACCAUCCGAGUCUCACCCUGUGCUAGGUACUGGCUCAGGAAAGAUGCUUCCAUGGCAGAUACCAGCCCCAGAGAGCCGCUUCGAUGGCAGCCAUGCCAGGAGCAGACACUGACCUCAUGGCGAGCUCAGCAGCCGGGCAUCAGGAAGUGUUCUGCCCUGGAUUGCAGCAAGCUGCUCUGCUUUUUCCUUUUUUUCCCUCCUAUUCAUUUAGUUUGGAAGCAUUUCAGAGGGCACUUUCUCCUGUUAUAUGGUGAUAAAACCCUGGGCUCAGUAACUGAGAUCUGAUGUCUGGCAUCAGAGCAAUACAAAUAACAAUAAAAGAAACAAAAUAGUGGUGAGUCAGGCUGGUUUCGGCUUGGAAAAACAUCAGUUCUCCUUAUUACUCACUGGCUCUGCCAUCUCCUCUGGGGGACUCUGCCGGCCACCGCAGGCUGCAGCAGAACAGAAGCCGUGCUGAGCUCCGUCCUGCCAGGACCUGCUUCGCUGGGGCUCACUGGGUUGCGUGCCGGCGCUGUCGGCACUGGGAGCAUAGAGGAGCUCAUCAGCAGCGUGCCCAGCCAGCCCAGCCCAGCCCAGCUGUUUUUUUCUAUCAAGGCGUUUGUUGGUUCAUGUCUCGUCUGUUUGCUUCCUUUUGGCACCAUUUUUUUCUCUGCAAGUGAAAAAUUUACCCUGAAUCACACCACGUUAUUUUCACUUGUCAAGAUAAAGGUUAAUGAAGUACCGGUAACUGCAUCACAGAUCUAGCUCUGUCUCUACCUAAGAUUGUUUACGGCACGCUAUGCUGCACAGCCCAUGCAUGGAAAAGGCUGUGAUUAAAAAAUAAUAAUAAAAACAAAACAAAACCAACUGUCAGAGGUCAAGGAAUUCGCAAUGGCAGCAGCUGAGCCGUUGCCCGUCACUGCCACCUCUGCAGUGGGCACGGGGCAAGGCUUACCCCAGCACUGCCAGUUCGGCAGCACCGCAGACUGAAGCAGCAUUUCCCUUUGCAAACACUGGCUGCCUCUGGGUAGCGGCUGCUCGGGUAUUCACACACCGUAUAAAUAAUACAGAAAGCAUGUAUGUAUGUACCUCCUACAAAUAUAUAUCUAGGAUUUAGAAGCAACAUUGUGAUAUAUUUGAUGUGCAGCCGUCUUCAGAAGGAUUUGCACCGGAGCUGCAGAAGGAUUUUGCACGCUGGCUGCACAGAGCCUCCCAUGGCCUGGACACGCAGCGGGGUAGCACGGCGGAGCUGCUCAGCGCAGCGGGCCCACGAGGCAGGAGGAAUGCACAGCCACCAGCUCCCCUCGGAAUCCAUAGGCAUGAGAUCAGCAUUAAAUCCUGCCGAUACAAAAGAUGCACUGCCUCAGCAGCAGCCCAUGAGGUGCAGGAAGGAAGGGAGGGGCAGCCUUGUUUUCUUCCCAGGGAAGGCCAGCGACUCGUGGGAUGAGUGUCAAAAGCUGCCGGUUGGGCUGAGUCAUGAGGUUGGCAUGGGGCGUUUCUCAUUAAGGCCGGCUUGAACGCGUGCCAAAGAGGAUUUCCAAAAUUCACAGCCACUUUUUGCUUGUCAUAGGGUUAAAAAUCCCACGGCCUGCUAUUCCGCUCUGCCGCGUGCGACCAAAAGCCUGGGGAGGUUAUUCUGAGGUUUGUUCUGUAAAUACGUUUCUAAAAUCUUGAGUACAAGUGAAGUUUAAAAGAAAAGACAACAGAAAACCCAACUUCUAAAAGAGCAAACCCGCACGGAGGACCUUUUCCCUCUCUCUGAGGUGGACCCAAGAGCUGCUGUGAGCCCCCAGUGCGGGUUUUAUUACGGGCUAAAUCGAGAUGCUUUGGACUUGCUGGAAUUCAGAUCUGAAGUUCAUAGUUUCAGCCCAUAUGCCGCGUAUAAAAGGAGGAUAAAGAGAGGCGUGUGCUUUUUCUUCCUUUUGAUAUGCAAAGAUUUAGAUGAAAUACUUACUUUCCAAUUUGCUUUUUCAGUAGAAACCCGCCAGAGAUGCUAUCGAACAUGAGAUACCCCGUGAUGCCUGCAGAGCUCCUGAAGUGAUGGAGGACAUCAAGAGCCAGAGGGAUUUGUACAGAGCAGCGGAAGGGAGCGGCUGCUGGUGCCGCUGGGAGCCUCGCUGGCUCCUUGCCAUCCUCUGAACUUAAAAGUUGUGUUGUCACGGAUCUAACCUCAAAACCUAACGAGCUGCUCGCAGAAAGGAAAUCUGCUGUAACAGCAGCACUGUCCCCGCAGCUGCAGCGGGGCCUGAGUGGAUCCCCCAGCACGGCCGAGUCAGGACAGCAGUGCAGGGUGGGACCCGACUCUCCUCACACAUCCAGAGUACGAUGCCAGAAGGAAAAUAUUUCACAUUUUAUGUAUUCAUGAAAAAUAAUAAAAGCGGAUGCAACAGUGAGACAAAGCAAACCUUUGCCCACUAGGUGGCUGUAAUUAUUAUGGCCCUGCUUGGUUUUUGGUAUCAAAUUGUCUUCAGCAGGAUGCCUUCCUCCUCCCUGUCCUGCCCUGUGUGCUGGGGACCUCCAUUGUGCCGGGGGAGCGUGGGCUCGGUGCUCGGCACAUUUCAGCCGCCUUUACCAAACGUCAGUGUUCAGACCGGCUUGCUGCGCCGCGUCAGAGGCCCCAGCAGCAUUCUGAAGGAUGGAGCACGCAUUCAUUUUUCACUACCAGAAGAAGUCCUUCUUUUUCAGAUGGCAUAAAUAACAACCAAAGACGUAUAACCCUUUGGAAAGGCUUUCCCCAUGCCGUGCCAUUAAACACAAGCAGCUUCCUAUUACUGUCGUAUCACCAAAACUUUGCAAAGCUGAUGGAUGAAAGCCCAGAAGGCAGGACUGAGCAUCUGUGUCCUAGAUUUAGGAGCGGCGCUGAUGUGAAAAAGAAGCGGGAUCUGCAGGAAAGGAGGCUCCAGCGAUGCAGCGCAGGGAACACAUUGCUCUGUGCUUGCACGGGGCUCAGUUCCAGGAGGAGGAGUGGGGCUGUGCCGUGCCCCCCGCCCCCAGGGCCACCUGCCCACAGCAUGGGUUGUGCCUCAUCCUGGGUGGGAUUUCCCUCACUCGAAUGUUCCGCCCUGGUACCACGCACAUGUCCAGCGCCUCUGUAUCUCAGAGCCUGGAAGACGCAGCAUCUGUGGCACAAGGGGAGCUGCAAGGAGAUCUGCCUUAGAAGAACCUCAGAACGGCUCUGAUGGUGGUUUAAUAUCGGUCACGCAGAUCAUUCCGUUUAUUGCUCGCUCUUGCAGAGUACCACAGAAAAGAGCUCGGAGGCCACAAUUGCAGUCAAACCAGUUGUGUCCUCCUGCUUUACCUGUGUUUCUUCCUAAAUGAGCCCCAGGGAGUGCUCCAUUUUGUGCAGGCCUGCAGAGGGAGGUGGCCCCGGGUGCUGCGCUCACCUGGCUGCGGGCUGGCCCCGCUCGGGGCGGUCACCCCGGCUGUGCUGCAGGCUGCCCUGCCCUCCCCGCUGCGUGCAGAUCCAGCCGAGCCCCGCAUUUAAAUCGAGUUCAUCACCUGCUGUCUGAACACCGUAUGGAAUUAUGUUAAUCGAGAAGGCAUAAUGAGCCUUCACAUUCACCUGACUGCAAGCAAGGAUGGAGUGCUGAACUAAAGUGGCUCUUUCAUCCUAAAUUGGUCCUUAUCUCCAACACCUCUACAAGAUCAUCCCAUGCACAGAGCACUGCGCUAGGUCAUUGUGCCUGUGUUUUGGGGAUGUCCUCAGAGAACCGUCACUGUCCUGCACAGGCGUUGUUUUCCCAUCUACAAAACAAGAUAAAGCAUUUCUGAUUCUGCAGCAAGACUGCAGAAGACUGAGACUAAUGGGUAAAAAAGGUAGGUACCAUUAAGGGUGGAGGUCUGCUUUACCGUCUCUUCCUAUUCCCUUGAAAGCAAUUCCUGCCAUCAUCCUUUGAAACAACCCAAGCGCGUCCCCAGCACCGGGGCUCUUCCCCAGGCUCCUCCGACCCGGGGGCUCUUGGUCUCCCUGCGCCUGCAGCAGCUCUUGCUGAGCAGGUUCAGGUGAAAUAAUCUCCACACAAACAUUCCGCAAACAGGUCAGUUCCAUGUUUGGUAUCAAACAUCCUUUCUGGAGCCCACCAGGUUAACAAAUGUCUCAGUUAUGAAAUUAUCAACCAGAACGCCAGGCAGCAUCAUAACCAUAUAGAUCUGAAAUAAUGUAACUUCCAUCACGGAAUUUUCAGCACUGCAACAGCAGCAGGAUGAAUAGCUGCCAUGUCUGAGAAUGGCAGAGGACAAGUGGUUACGGUUACGGUUACGAACUGAGGACCCCCUAGAGCAGAUUUGGGAAGGCGCAGAGCUGUGAUGCUGUGAUGGAGUUCUGGAUGCUCUGUGUGCUCAGUAGAGAGACACAGAGCAGCAGAGGCACGCAAACCCAGAGAGUAUUUUGGAAUGCCACACACCCGCAGCCCAGAGAGCCGCAUACAUAAGGCUAACAGAGGUGUGUGGGGCUGCCCCCAGGGCUGCCCGACCCAUGAAGGACAUUCCCAGCUGGGAGCUGAGCUGUGAGCGCAGCAGCGAGGCAGGCUCCAGCCUCGGGCAGAGGGAUGGGGACAGCGGCCCUGGGGAGCCCGGCCCUGCAGCAGCAGCAGCGCACAGCUUGUCCCCGCGGGCAGGAGCUCUUGUGCUCCUCUCAUCACAGCCGGGCAUCGCUCAAAGCGAAGCGUUCCUGCCCAACGCGCACAGCGUUCGGAGGGGAGUUCUUUUUGCUCACUCCCUUUUGGUUUUUGUACCGUUUCCAGCAUUUCUGGCAAAAACAUUUCCUCUGACUGUUUUCCUUCUAGAAACAACCUCUUCCAGACAGGGCUGCUCUGCCACCGCGCAGCGGGCAGACGUGCGGCUAUUUCAAUCGCAGGGCUGGAACGUCAGCCAAGCACUUGUCUCGUUCCAAGCGGAGCUGGAGCUGAGGGCACACUGCGGGGUGCACCCUGCCCGGCCCGGGGCUCAGCGGCACCACAGCCCGUGCUGAAUUCAAGGCUUCUGGGGACCGAAUCGGUGACAAAACCCAGCAAGGUUUUAGGAGCAGGUCUUUCUCAGCCUGGUAUUUCUGCCCUCGGCUCCCAGCUCCUGUGCGCUCUGUGGGCAGCGGUUUCAUUGGUUGCCAGGCUGUACGCAGCAGCGCUCGGCAGCAGUCAUCAAAUCCGACAUUCUGCUAACGCGAGGGUAAUUGGUGAUUUUUCUCCCACCCGCUGCAGCCCCUCUGUUCUGCUGGGAGAUGCAGAGUCAUGGCUCUGCCCGCCUGGCUCCCUGCCACCCAACUGCUCCUUUAAAACCCCAUACCUCCCAUUGAAAGAACUCGGUGUCCUGUUCGCCAGGAGGACGUCAGUGUUUCUAUGGAAACUCUUCCCAAAGAUUCUCGCCCGGCGCUGCUGCUGCGUAUUGUAUGACCGGCUUUGUGCACGGCAAUUCAUUAUGGAGGCUGUGACGAAAAGGGAGCAGCUUUCUGCCCAGAGGGAAAAAGCGUUCAAAAAAAAAAACAACCCCAGCAACAACAAGAAACACCUCACUAUUAAUAAAGGAAGCCACUAAAAUGGAAGGUGCCAAAGCUGUUCGGUAUUUGAGUUAUGAAUGGAAUCUGCUCGCCUGCGCUGCUUGCAGAGAAUUGAACCACACCGGUUCCCGAGUAAUUAGCUGAGCUGAAAAAACGGACAAAUUCCACAUAAGAUCCUUCUUGUUCUGAGUCGCGGAGGGGAAAGCGUUCCACCUCUCGCCACCACAAUCGCCGUGAUCGAUGAGUGCCACGUAGCGAGGAGCGGACGCGUGGCGGAGCUGGUGCCUGCGCUGCCGUGGGCGCGGGGCUCAUCCAGCUCAGCAAAUCGCGGGGCCCAGCAGAGGACACGCUGACGGCACUGACGUCGGUCUCCCUUCCUGGCUGUGCCCAAUGGUGCCCAGACCGCUCACCAUCUGGAAACGAGCACCGCGCGUUAACGGGCAGAAGGCAAAAGGUCGGCACCUCGUUCCCACCUCUACCCAGGCUCACCCUGUUGUUUCCUACUGGGAGGCCUCUGCUGACUUUGAAGAUGUGGAAAUUCAGGAGGCUGCUGUGGUGGUGCCCGGGAGCAGGUGGGCAGCAGAGCUGGGCUCCCAGCACACAGCUCCGGGCACUGGGCUGCCCAGUACGGGUGUGGGAAGCAGCCCCUAACCCAGCAGCAGUGCGAGAUCUCCUGAGGAAAACGCAAUGUUCGUGCCCUGGGCUGGGAAAUGGCACUCGGUGCAAACUGGGCAGAGAAUGAGAAGAAGCAAUAUUUUAUUUUUAAACCUUGUGAAUUUCAGAGUGGUUCUGCUUUGUUGCUUUCCUAGGGAGGAAGGCAGGGUUGGGAAAACAGGAAUGUCAAACUCUGCUCGCUCCCUGAUCCUGCUCUAAAGACUUGUAUUACCUUUAAUUGACGUUUCUGAGUGCGUUCUCAUCGAUCUACCACAACUGCGCUCUUUGUGCAGAGAACAUUCUAUUCUGAGAGUGUAAUCUAGACCCAUGCAAACCAUAUAGAUGUUUCCUGAUAACAUAAUUUAGAAAAAGAGGAUGUAAUUAUUGCCUUUGCUGCAUGCAUGGCGUCUGCGCACUUGUGCGCUGAACCCGUGGCCCCGCUCAGAAUCUGCACCAGGGAAAUCUCCCAACGCUCUCAAUGUGGUUCUCAUUUUGCAGAAAGCCUUUUCCGUCCUAUUAAAUAUGCAAGCCCUCA